CUUCGGAGUUAGUGGCAGACGGGUGAGUAACGCGUGGGAMCCUACCUUUAGGUACGGAACAACAGUUGGAAACGACUGCUAAUACCGUAUGAGCCCUAUGGGGGAAAGAUUUAUCGCCUAAGGAUGGGCCCGCGUUGGAUUAGCUAGUUGGUGGGGUAAAGGCCUACCAAGGCGACGAUCCAUAGCUGGUCUGAGAGGAUGAUCAGCCACACUGGGACUGAGACACGGCCCAGACUCCUACGGGAGGCAGCAGUGGGGAAUAUUGGACAAUGGGGGCAACCCUGAUCCAGCCAUGCCGCGUGAGUGAUGAAGGCCCUAGGGUUGUAAAGCUCUUUCAGCGAGGAGGAUAAUGACGUUACUCGCAGAAGAAGCCCCGGCUAACUUCGUGCCAGCAGCCGCGGUAAUACGAAGGGGGCUAGCGUUGUUCGGAAUCACUGGGCGUAAAGCGCACGUAGGCGGACUUUUAAGUCAGGGGUGAAAUCCCGGGGCUCAACCCCGGAACUGCCUUUGAUACUGGAAGUCUUGAGACCGAGAGAGGUGAGUGGAACUCCGAGUGUAGAGGUGAAAUUCGUAGAUAUUCGGAAGAACACCAGUGGCGAAGGCGGCUCACUGGCUCGGUACUGACGCUGAGGUGCGAAAGCGUGGGGAGCMAACAGGAUUARAUACCCUGGUAGUCCACGCCGUAAACGAUGGAAGCUAGCCGUCAGGUAGCAUGCUAUUUGGKGGCGCAGCUAACGCAUUARGCUUCCCGCCUGGGGA
rnacentral:rRNA from 1 species